GACAAAUUUCUGCAGCAGUACGGGCUGCAAGAUCCUGACACAAGCACCCAGUUCAUGACUCAGUUUGAUGGGGAACUGCCACCAGAUUUUGGUAGCAUUAACGACGGCCAAGACCAACCCGAUCAAAGAUAACUACUGUCCACUGAACUGAAACUUUUACCUUCCAGAUGUGUGCUCAUGUCGUAUCAUCCACUACAGAUGGUCUGGGGAUAGAAUCUCCUCUUGGCAUCUUCCAAAUAAAAAUAAAUAAAUCAA
rnacentral:lncRNA from 1 species